GAAUGGCUCAUUAUAUAAGUUAUCGUUUAUUUGAUAGUACCUUACUACAUGGAUAACCGUGGUAAUUCUAGAGCUAAUACAUGCUAAAAAUCCCGACUUCGGAAGGGAUGUAUUUAUUAGAUUAAAAACCAAUGCCCUCUGGGCUCUCUGGUGAUUCAUAAUAACUUCUCGAAUCGCAUGGCCUUGCGCCGGCGAUGGUUCAUUCAAAUUUCUUCCCUAUCAACUUUCGAUGUUUGGGUAGUGGCCAAACAUGGUUGCAACGGGUAACGGAGGGUUAGGGCUCGACCCCGGAGAAGGAGCCUGAGAAACGGCUACUACAUCCAAGGAAGGCAGCAGGCGCGCAAAUUACCCAAUCCCGAUUCGGGGAGGUAGUGACAAUAAAUACUGAUACAGGGCUCUUUUGGGUCUUGUAAUUGGAAUGAGUACAAUUUAAAUCCCUUAACGAGGAACAAUUGGAGGGCAAGUCUGGUGCCAGCAGCCGCGGUAAUUCCAGCUCCAAUAGCGUAUAUUAAAGUUGUUGUGGUUAAAAAGCUCGUAGUUGAACCUUGGGCCUGGCUGGCCGGUCCGCCUCACCGCGUGUACUGGUCCGGCCGGGCCUUUCCCUCUGUGGAACCCCAUGCCCUUCACUGGGCGUGGCGGGGAAACAGGACUUUUACUUUGAAAAAAUUAGAGUGCUCCAGGCAGGCCUAUGCUCGAAUACAUUAGCAUGGAAUAAUGAAAUAGGACGUGCGGUUCUAUUUUGUUGGUUUCUAGGACCGCCGUAAUGAUUAAUAGGGACAGUCGGGGGCAUCAGUAUUCAAUUGUCAGAGGUGAAAUUCUUGGAUUUAUUGAAGACUAACUACUGCGAAAGCAUUUGCCAAGGAUGUUUUCAUUAAUCAGGAACGAAAGUUAGGGGAUCGAAGACGAUCAGAUACCGUCGUAGUCUUAACCAUAAACUAUGCCGACUAGGGAUCGGACGAUGUUAUUUUUUGACUCGUUCGGCACCUUACGA
rnacentral:rRNA from 2 species